rnacentral:lncRNA from 1 species
AACACAGGAAGUAAGAAUCUGAAUGCAUGCCAGCCCUACCCUCACCCCAAGCCACAGCAAGGGGCUGGCACUCACCUGAACGCAGAACCGCAGUGGACAGACCAUCUUGUGACCCUGGACACCCUGAUCUCUUCUAGAACAGAGAAUGAAUCAGCUUGCUACACAGAUGGAUAAGGUGUCCCCCAAGAUGUUCUUGAUGAGUAAGUAAACCUUUCCAGGAGAUGGUCACACAGCAAAGGAAGAUGUCAGCAGAGAAACAAUGGCGUCUUCACUCAAUAUCACCACUGCCUUAUUCCAGAGAAAGAAGCUCCCAUGCAAGACCUUGCUAUCCCUUCUCUGUAUGCAGUGUCUUCGGAGGAGAUCUGCCCAUUGUGAUAUAGGAUCCUUAGCUAAUCUGUUGAGAUACUCCCCUAAAUGAACAAACAGAGAUGCUCCUGUAAUGUCGACUUAUAAUGGAUUUUUUUUCAUUGAUUAUGAGAUUAGAGUCUCAGCCCAAAUUGGCCCAUUUAGAAAAACAACAAUAAAGAAUUUUUGAAUUCUUCUGUU